GACGAACCGUGCGAACGUUGUUCGGAAUCACUGGGCUUAAAGGGCGCGUAGGCGGGCCACCAAGUCCGGGGUGAAAUCCUUCGGCUUAACCGGAGAACUGCCUUGGAUACUGGUGGCCUCGAGGGAGUAGGGGCCUGUGGAACUGGUGGUGGAGCGGUGAAAUGCGUUGAUAUCACUAGGAACGCCGGCGGCGAAAGCGACAGGCUGGACCUC
rnacentral:rRNA from 1 species